rnacentral:rRNA from 1 species
GAUGAACGCUGGCGGCGUGCCUAAUACAUGCAAGUCGAGCGAACAGACGAGGAGCUUGCUCCUCUGAUGUUAGCGGCGGACGGGUGAGUAACACGUGGAUAACCUACCUAUAAGACUGGGAUAACUUCGGGAAACCGGAGCUAAUACCGGAUAACAUGUUGAACCGCAUGGUUCAACAGUGAAAGACGGUCUUGCUGUCACUUAUAGAUGGAUCCGCGCCGCAUUAGCUAGUUGGUAAGGUAACGGCUUACCAAGGCAACGAUGCGUAGCCGACCUGAGAGGGUGAUCGGCCACACUGGAACUGAGACACGGUCCAGACUCCUACGGGAGGCAGCAGUAGGGAAUCUUCCGCAAUGGGCGGAAGCCUGACGGAGCAACGCCGCGUGAGUGAAGAAGGUCUUCGGAUCGUAAAACUCUGUUAUUAGGGAAGAACAAAUGUGUAAGUAACUAUGCACGUCUUGACGGUACCUAAUCAGAAAGCCACGGCUAACUACGUG